rnacentral:lncRNA from 1 species
UCAACAGCAGGAGCCGAGCAAAGUGCUCGGCGGAGGAAGAGGAAGGGCGAGGGAGAGAAAUGGUCGAGUACAGAAGCCUGCGUGUGGGUAAGAAAAUACCCUAACCACUCGCCCACCGGACGCAGGGCGGCUGGGACUGCGAAUCCAGCAGCAGCCACAGCGUAGCAGCGGGCGGCAGCCGCCGAGGCAGCAAUGUCAGGAGGGCACAGCUGGAGGAGGCGGCCGCCAAAGCCACUACCCCACCCCCAGGAAGAUUUGGAAAAGAGGCACUGGCUACUGGAGGAAGGGAGAAAUCACCGAGAGAGCGAAAGAUGUAACAGAUGCAGUGACUCAUGCCUAUAAUCCCAGUACUUUGGAAGGUCAAGGCACAAGGAUCCAUUGAGGCCAGGAGUCCAAGACCAGCCUGCACAAUGUAGCAAGACUCCUUCUCUACAAAAAAAUAAAUAAAAAUUAGCCAGGCAUGGUGGUGCACUCCUGUAGUCCCAGCUACUCAAGAGGCUGAUGUAGAGAAUCGCAUUAUCCCAGAGGUCAAGGCUGCAGUGAGCCGUGAUCAUGCCUCUGCACUCCAGCCUGGACGAUAGAGCAAGACUUUAUCUCAAAAAACAAAAAUUUAAAAAGAUAUCAGGUAGCUCAUAGAAUUGUUGAGAGGGCUGUAAAACCAGGCUUGAACUUAAACAGCAACGAUAAACCACCCACAGAACGGACAUGAUGAAGAAGUUGGCAAAUGUUACCAACUGUCCUGGUUUUUUUGGUGACUGUAGUUUCCAAGGAUUCAGAUCCUUCCAUGCCAAAAUCUGAAAAAUGCUGGGCAAAGUAUGACUGACAAUGUGGUAAUCUUACAGCUAGCACUAGAGACAUCAAGCACUAGACAACACAAUUUGCCCUUUGGCCACUUAUACAAUGGGAACUCACGCUUGCAGUAACCUCUAUUGCCACUAGGAGAGAGAAACACAGAAGGAGGAAGGGAGAAGGGAGAGAGAGGAAAAAAACUGUUGCUUGUCUCCUUAGCUGUGAGUCAAAGGUCUAACACAGAUGUCUGGCUGAAAAGCCUAGGUCACAUGCCUGCACCCCAGAGAAAGUAUGUGACAUCUUCUGCUUCCAUUAUGGGAAACAGCCUUUGCUUGUCACGAAGAUUUACAUGGUGAGACAUAUCCUAAAUAUAGGGAAGCUGUUGAAGUGGCCCAAAUAAUGACCAAUUUCUACUAAUUUGUACUAAUAUCCAAAUUACUUUUAAUUAUCUAAUAUUACUUAGAUACAGUGAGGCAACCAUUCGUUGGAUAUAUAAUGGUUUCUUUGAUUUCAAAAAUCUUUUUUUAUGUAAUAUAUGUCUGAAGACCAUCAAAAUAAAUUCUUAAAGUCAGAUUAAUAGGAUGUUACUUAUAAUAUUAUUGUAAUUAUUUGACCACAUAAUAGUUUAUGCCCAUUAUAUACUAUGUAAUUGUAUGAUGGAAAUAAUGCUGUACUUUGUUUGUAAAAGUUUAAUUAUCCUGACCUUUGUUCAUCAUAAAGAAUUGCUCCAUUUCUAUUAUUUAUCGAGGAAAAAAGUUUCUCUCUUUUUGUUUUUAAUAUGUCAUUAGGAGAAGAGUAGUUACACGUAGGCUAGAGUGUUUGCCAAGAAGAAAUUGAUUUUAAUGGGAACCUUUUAUCUAAGACAAACUUUAAGAAGAGCAGUAAUGGACAAUGUGUUCUGUGCAACUCUUCAGCCUUCAGUCUCACAUUCAUUGUGGUCAAGUAUUUUCAGCAAAGAAUAACAAGUCAGAGUUUGUGUAUAUUUUUCAUAGCUGUUCAUUCUCUUACAGAGUAACCUUGAACAAACCUCUUAAGAUUUGUGUUUUAUCUUCAUAUACUGAAAUACAAAAUGGGAAUGCCUAUAUUUAAUCAAAGAUAUAAUUUUUACUGAUAGAUAGUAAAGAACAAAACACUGGAACAAGAAUUCCUGUCCUGCCUUUCACAAUGUGGUUUUGAGGCCUUGGCCAUGUCACUUAAAUUCUCAUAUCUGUUUUCUCAAUCUAUAAAUGAUCAUAAUACCUGCACUAUCUGUCUCAAAUUGCAUAUGUGAAAGCAUCUUAAAGGUACAAAACAAUAAAUACAAAGCAUUAUUAUUAAAUUAUUACACCUUCCAGCAUUUAAUGCUAAAAAUGCCAAAUGCGUCCUUUGGUUAUAUGUAGGAAAUAUGUCUCAGAAAAAUCAAUUUAAAAUUAUAGAAGCUAACAGGUAAGUCAUUUUAAGUGUGUGGUUAUCUUCUGCAUGGCAGAUUUUUAAAUGGUAAUUAUUAAUGAAGUUUUCCUAUACUUACUGUUUCCAAGACUCCAUUCUUUCCAAAGUUUUCUGAGUUAUGCUUAUCAUCCCUUAAGUCUUAGGGAUGCUCUUCUGAGCUUUUGGGGUUUGUUUAAUUGAUAUGUCAUAGUUGUACAUAUUUUAGGAGUUCUUGUGAUAUUUUGAUACAUGUAUAUAAUGAGUAAUGAUAAAAUCAGAGUAAUUGGGAUAUCCAUCACUUCCAACAUUUGUCUUUG